UACGGAGGGUGCGAGCGUUGUUCGGAAUCACUGGGCGUAAAGGGCUCGUAGGCGGCCAACUAAGUCAGACGUGAAAUCCCUCGGCUUAACCGGGGAACUGCAUCUGAUACUGGAUGGCUUGAGAUUGGGAGAGGGAUGCGGAAUUCCAGGUGUAGCGGUGAAAUGCAUUGAGAUCGGAAAGAACACCAACGGCGAAAGCACUCUGCUGGGCCGACACUGACACUGAGAGACGAAAGCUAGGGGAGCAAAUGGG
rnacentral:rRNA from 1 species